rnacentral:rRNA from 1 species
UACGUAGGGUGCGAGCGUUGUCCGGAAUCAUUGGGCGUAAAGCGCGCGUAGGCGGCCCGGUAAGUCCGCUGUGAAAGUCCAGGGCUCAACCCUGGAAAGCCGGUGGAUACUGCCGGGCUAGAGUCCGGAAGAGGCGAGUGGAACUCCUGGUGUAGCGGUGGGAAUGCGCAGAUAUCAGGAAGAACACCAACGGCGAAGGCAGCUCGCUGGGACGGUACUGACGCUGAGACGCGAAAGCGUGGGGAGCAAACAGG